rnacentral:rRNA from 1 species
UUGAACGCUGGCGGCAUGGCUAAAACAUGCAAGUCGAACGGAUCCGCAAGGAUCAGUGGCGGAAGGGUCAGUAAUACGAUCGAAUGUACCCCGAGGUGAGGGAUAGGCACGGGAAACUGUGCGUAAUACCUCAUGUGCACUUAGGUGGAAAGAUUUAUCGCCUUGGGAGCAGCGAUUGUCCUAUCAGGUAGUUGGCGGAGUAAUAGCCCACCAAGCCAAAGACGGGUAGCGGGUGUGAGAGCACGGCCCGCGACAUCGGGACUGAGACACUGCCCGGACUCCUACGGGAGGCUGCAGUAACGAAUAUUCCGCAAUGGACGAAAGUCUGACGGAGCAAUGCCGCGUGCAGGAUGAAGCGGUUUCGCCGUGUAAACUGCUGUCAGGGGCAGGAAAAACUGAUCCGCCCCAAAGGAAGAGACGGCUAACCCUGU